GAUGAACGCUGGCGGCGCGCCUAACACAUGCAAGUCGAACGAUUAAACCGCCCUUGGGCGGAUAUACAGUGGCGAACGGGUGAGUAACGCGUGACCAACCUUCCCCCCGCAUCGGGACAACCCGGGGAAACCCGGGCUAAUACCGGAUAUGCCGGGUAUGGCGCAUGUCAUACCCAGGAAAGCUUUUGCGGCGGGGGAUGGGGUCGCGUCCCAUCAGGUAGACGGCGGGGUAGUAGCCCACCGUGCCAACGACGGGUAGCCGGGUUGAGAGACCGACCGGCCACAUUGGGACUGAGAUACGGCCCAGACUCCUACGGGAGGCAGCAGUGGGGAAUCUUGCGCAAUGGGGGAAACCCUGACGCAGCGACGCCGCGUGCGGGAUGGAGGCCUUCGGGCCGUGAACCGCUUUCAGCAGGGAAGACAUUAAGGACG
rnacentral:rRNA from 1 species